CCGCCCCAGCACUGCUGAAUCCAUCCACCAAACCCUGGCCACUGAUUCAGAAUGCUGGCGCUCCUCUGUGGAAUCGGGACUCACGGGGUCCCCGGAAAGACACGUACCUCUGCCAGGCCAGAACGACACCAGUGGCCACUCGUACAGUGGCCAAAACAUAGGCUUUGAAAACCGGGCAAAGAUUCCUCGCACCCCUGACAGGACCGGCAGGCCUCGUCUUCCCCCGCUGGCCCCCCAGUUCUCCAACAGUGAGCCCCAGCAGAGCAGCAGCAGGCCCGGUUCUUCAGGGGGCUCCGGUGGGCGGCCCAGCCAACACAGCAGCCAAUCACAUAGAAAGUGAAAAAAGAGGAGCUUUCAGCUGGAGAAUCCUAUCGCCAGAUGGAUGAGCAUCCUACUUCCUGUAACAUCAUCCAAGUUUCUUAUCACAGUCAGGUCAACAGAGAUGCCCGAGGGCCUGUGGAACAAAGCUGAGGAUUGUGGUUUCGGAGGGCCUUUCAGCCCCUGCCACAGAGUGUAUCUGUAACACAACACACACAAGCAAUAAUCACAACAAGUACUUUCAUUGUCCCGCAACCUCCCAAACACCUGGCGCUCCGCUCCUGCUUUGUUACUCUUGAACCUCGACCACCCUCGCUCAUCUGAAGCAGAGAGAUUUAAAAUCAUACAAGAAUGAAGUUGUUUUCUGUCUUGCGCCUGUGAUUUGAUGCCGUUUUAUUGUUGUUGCCGUUUUUUGUGUACGUUUUAGUCAUAAAACUUCAUAUUGACCUGUAGUUGACCUGUAGUGCUGUGUGAAAUAGACCUGAUGGAAGAAACUAAUGCUGGUAACUUUGAAUAUUCAGAUUAAUAUUCACACCUCUAGGUUGCAAUUUUAGGUUUGGUUUGUGCAAUGAAGUGUUUUAAAGUCA